rnacentral:rRNA from 1 species
AUUGAACGCUGGCGGCAUGCCUUACACAUGCAAGUCGAACGGUAACAGGUUAAGCUGACGAGUGGCGAACGGGUGAGUAAUGUAUCGGAACGUGCCCAGUCGUGGGGGAUAACUGCUCGAAAGAGCAGCUAAUACCGCAUACGACCUGAGGGUGAAAGCGGGGGAUCGCAAGACCUCGCGCGAUUGGAGCGGCCGAUAUCAGAUUGGGUAGUUGGUGAGGUAAAGGCUCACCAAGCCGACGAUCUGUAGCUGGUCUGAGAGGACGACCAGACACACUGGGACUGAGACACGGCCCAGACUCCUACGGGAGGCAGCAGUGGGGAAUUUUGGACAAUGGGCGCAAGCCUGAUCCAGCCAUGCCGCGUGCGGGAAGAAGGCCUUCGGGUUGUAAACCGCUUUUGUCAGGGAAGAAAAGGUUCUGGCUAAUACCUGGGACUCAUGACGGUACCUGAAGAAUAAGCACCGGCUAACUACGUGCCAGCCGCCGCCGUAAGAC